AUCAACAAUAUGAGCUUUAGGCAAAGAUUCUUUUCAUGCACUAUUUGUCUUUAUUAAGCCCCUCUUAUAUAAGCUUCUCUCUUAUGUAACUAAUCAUUAAUAUUCACAAAUGGAUGCAAAAGUGAUUACACACAACAUGAGUCUAUCACCAACUUUAGCUCAGUGGAGAAGCCUAAGACUUAAACCAAAACACACUUUUGUAGUUGGAGUUUUUGCAAGGCCUUCAGAUAACAUUACUGAAGAAACAUUAAGAAAAACUACUGUAUACAAUGAUAAUUGGUUUGAUAAAUUAGCUAUAAAUCAUUUAUCAAAAAGUGUUCAAGCAGCAACAGGCAUAAGUAACAAUAAGAGUGGUUUUGAUAGCCUUGUGGAAGCAGCUACUGUGGCUUCACAGAAAUUUAAUACUAUUCAACAACAAGAAAUUAUUCUAGAUGCACUUGACAGAGCCUUUCCAAAGCCAAUACUUUCGGUGAUAAGGAGAGUGAUGCCACCUUCUAAAAUAGCAAGGGAAUAUUUUGCCGUCUUCACCACUUUGUUCUGUGCUUGGUUACUCGGUCCCUGUGAGGUGAGAGAAUCGGAAGUCAAUGGGAAAAGAGAAAAAAAUGUCGUCCACAUAAAAAAAUGCAGAGUUUUAGAAGAAACAAAUUGUGUUGGGAUAUGUGCCAAUCUCUGCAAAAUGCCAUCUCAAAUAUUCAUAAAGGACUCUUUUGGUAUGCCACUCAAUAUGGUUCCAAAUUUUGAUGACAUGAGUUGUGAGAUGAUAUUUGGCCAGGAACCCCCAUCAUCAACCGAUGAUCCAGCACUCAAACAACCCUGCUAUAAACUAUGCAAGGCAAAGAAAAACCAUGGAACGAAAUGUCUUACCUAAUGUAGUAGGCUUUUUCUCAGCUGGGCAGGACGAAGAAUGUCCCCCACCUUUGUGUGCUACCAAAGCUAAGAACAAUUAAGUGGUUCAGUGUAAUCUAAACCAAUGGUUUCAUUCUUAAGUGGAUUUUCAUCAUUUUAGAUUAGUUUUAAUGUUCGUAAAGCGCUCAAGUAUGUAAGUGGACAAAGGAAUUGCUUACCGCUCUCAUAUAAUGUUACAUAACAAAAUUAUCUAUGAUUUGAGCCCCCCACCUACCCUGAAGAAAAUAAACUAUUAUUGAUUAUUUCCUCUAUUAAACUCAUAAAACACUUGCUAAAUUACGAUUAAACAAACACUUUGUUUAAAAAUGGACUUCACCAACUCGGUCUACCAUUAUUCUUGUUAAAGAAUUAUUUUUUAUAACAUGAUCUAACAUCUCACAAAGCGUCAUUUUGUACUCGAGAAAAGUGACAUUUCUCCAUUCUCGUGAGCUUAGAAAACAUUAUUUUAUUAGCAUAUGUUUAAUUUUAAUCGGUUAUGUGCUAUUUAAAUUAUUUAGCGGGAUAGAGGUAUUAAUUUAGCAAGAGGAAUUCAUUAAAUUAGGAUUUAUUUAACUUGGCAAUCAAAAUUAGAAUGAAAGAUGUAAGAAGAAUAGUGUUAGAAAAAUAGAAUAGAACUAUUGGUAGAUUUUUUUUUUAAGCAAGAAAAAUAGCGAGGUAGAAGUAGCAAAUUGAUGGGGAAAAUAGUUAAAUAGAAUUUUAGAUGAUUUUAAUAAUUUAAAUAGGAAAAGAAUUGAGAGAAAUUAAAAUUAUAGAGGAAAUGGAGAAUUAGGAGGAAAUGUAAUGAAGCGGGUGUAUAGUGAGCAAGUACAGAAAGAUGGGGUAUGUUGGAGUAAGAAUUAUGUUGGGCUAGUGUGAAGGGAGGUGGGCGCAUGGGCUUUAGUAAAAGAGAGGGGUGUGAGAGAAAUUCUGUCUAAAAGGAGGGUGAAUUCCAUUGUGCAAAGGUAUAAGGGUCAACAUUGGUUGGGAGGUUGUUAAUGAAAAUCUACAUUUCUCAUUCUUUGAAAGUAAACCUGGACAAGAUUUUUCUGCAAGGAUAUAUGAUCAAGUUCACAACAUUGAUCCACGAACUACUUUGUUCUUGAAUGAUUAUAAUACCAUUGAGGAAAGUAGAGAUGGUUUAUCAAGUCCAUCAAGGUAUAUUAAGACAAAUUCAAAGUUCAAAUAGACAAUUGCCUCUUGUAAUUGGACUUGAGUCUCAUUUCCCUAGUAGUCUUCCUAACUUGCCUAACAUGAGAGCUUCCCUUGACAUCCUUCCUUCCACCGGUUUUCCAAUAUGGAUUACUGAGUUAGACAUCGCACGCCAACCUAAUUAGGCAAGGUACUUCGAGUAGGUUCUAAGAGAGGCCCAUUCUCACCCAGGGAUUUGAGGCAUUGCAAUGUGGACUGCUGGAAACCAACCGGUUGUUAUACGAUGUGUUUGACUGAUAACAAAUUUAAGAAUUUGCCUACUGGUGAUGUUGUGGACAAACUUCUUAAAGAGUCGGGGAAAACAACAGUAUCAACGACGACAAGCGAAAAUAGUUUCCUCGAGACCUCUCUUUUUCAUGGCGAUUAUGACGUGGAAAUUAGUCAUGCUAUAAAGAAGAAUCAUACUUUCACUCAUAAAAUGCAAGUUCUUUCGGAAUACGAGUCAGAGAAAAUAAGACAGUUUAUA